rnacentral:rRNA from 1 species
UACGUAGGGUGCGAGCGUUAAUCGGAAUUACUGGGCGUAAAGCGUACGCAGGCGGUUCGUUGUGUCGGCGGUGAAAGCCCCGGGCUUAACCUGGGAAUGGCCGUUGAAACUGGCGAACUGGAGUGUGGCAGAGGGGGGUGGAAUUCCGCGUGUAGCAGUGAAAUGCGUAGAGAUGCGGAGGAACACCGAUGGCGAAGGCAGCCCCCUGGGCUAACACUGACGCUCAGGCACGAAAGCGUGGGGAGCAAACAGG